GCCUUCGUGGUGUAAUGGCCAGCACGUUCGACGCGAAACCGAGAGUUCCGUGGUUCGAUUCCCAGCGAAGGUG
rfam:Stegodyphus mimosarum contig38291, whole genome shotgun sequence.